rnacentral:rRNA from 2 species
CAGUCGAGCGGUAACAGAUCCAGCUUGCUGGAUGCUGACGAGCGGCGGACGGGUGAGUAAUGCAUAGGAAUCUGCCCGAUAGUGGGGGAUAACCUGGGGAAACCCAGGCUAAUACCGCAUACGUCCUACGGGAGAAAGGGGGCUUCGGCUCCCGCUAUCGGAUGAGCCUAUGUCGGAUUAGCUAGUUGGUGAGGUAACGGCUCACCAAGGCAACGAUCCGUAGCUGGUCUGAGAGGAUGAUCAGCCACAUCGGGACUGAGACACGGCCCGAACUCCUACGGGAGGCAGCAGUGGGGAAUAUUGGACAAUGGGGGCAACCCUGAUCCAGCCAUGCCGCGUGUGUGAAGAAGGCCCUCGGGUUGUAAAGCACUUUCAGCGAGGAAGAACGCCUAGCGGUUAAUACCCGCUAGGAAAGACAUCACUCGCAGAAGAAGCACCGGCUAACUCCGUG